GAUGAACGCUGACAGAAUGCUUAACACAUGCAAGUCUUUGGCGAAGCUGUGCUUGCACAGCCUAGCCAAGGCGGACGGGUGAGUAACGCGUAAGGAACUUGCCCUGCAGUCAGGGAUAACAGACGGAAACGACUGAUAAGACCUGGUAAAGUCAGGCGGACUCAUGUCCAGCCUGAUGAAAAGAGAUGCUGCAGGAGAGCCUUGCGUCCUAUUAGCUUGUUGGUGGGGUAACGGCCCACCAAGGCGAUGAUAGGUAGCCGGCCUGAGAGGGUGGACGGCCACAAGGGGACUGAGAUACGGCCCUUACUCCUACGGGAGGCAGCAGUGGGAAAUAUUGGACAAUGGGGGCAACCCUGAUCCAGCAAUUCUGUGUGCACGAUGAGGGUUUUCGGAUUGUAAAGUGCUUUCAGCAGGGAAGAAAAAAAUGACGGUACCUGCAGAAGAAGCGACGGCUAAAUACGUG
rnacentral:rRNA from 1 species